UGAUGAGUUUCACUGUAUAAUCAGUUGCUUCCUUCCUCUUGUUGUCAGAUUGUUUUGGUAGAGGUGUGGAGUCUAGCCCUGGAGGAGCUCUUGUGCUGGAAACUGCUGGGAUCUGUGUUUGUGGAAAGAACAUCUAGAAUAACAACAUUUUCUGGUUCCAUACAUAAUUCAAAUCCAUCACCAAUGGACGGGCUGUUUCAGUUGCUUUUUUUCUCAGGAUUCUGUUCAUUUACUGGGGCCAUCUCACGUGACUAUGUUGUAAUUCAGGAACAGAAGACUUGGAAACAGGCACAAGCUUACUGCACAGCAAAUCACAUUGACUUGGCUACAGUUCAAAGUGAUGAAGACUGGACGAAUCUACGAGAUGCAGUUAAAAAAAAUACUAAAAUGGCUUGGAUUGGACUGUACAAUGACAUCAAUAGCUGGCGGUGGUCAUAUCAAAAUAAGAAAACGGCAUUUAGCUCUUGGAGCUCUGGAGAACCAAACAACUAUGCUGGAGAAGAGGCUUGUGGUGCAACGUAUGGUAGCUCAUGGAAUGAUUUUGAUUGCAAUACUCUACUUCCAUUUUUUUGCUUCAAUGGUAAGAAAUGAUAUAAAUGUUAUUAAUGUAAAUACAGUGGGUACGGAAAGUAUUCAGAACCCCUUAAAUUUUUCACUUUUUCUCCACACAUAACGCUUAGAAUUAAGGCCAAAAAGUUCUAUCUUGGUCUCAUCAGACAAGAUAAUCCUUCAGGUGUUUUUUUUUAGCAAACUCCAUGGGGGCUUUCAUGUGUCUUGCACUGAGGAGAGGAUUCCGUCGGGCCACUCUGCCAUAAAACCCCGACUGGUGGAGGGCAGAAGUGAUGAUUGACUUUCUACAACUUUCCCCCACCUCCUGACUGCAUCUCUGGAGCUCAGCCACAGUGAUCUUUGGGUUCUUUACCUCUCUCACCAAGGCUCUUCUCCCCCGAUAGCUCAGUUUGGCAAGACGGCCAGCUCUAAGAAAGGUUCUGGUCACCCCAAACGUCUUCCAUUUAAGGAUUAUGGAGGCCACUGUGCUCUAAGGAACCUUAAGUGCAGCAGAAUUUUUUUUGUAACCUUGGCCAGGUCUGUUCCUUGCCACAAUUCUGUCUCUGAGCUCUUCAGGCGGUUCCUUUGACCUCAUGAUUCUCAUUUGCUCUGACAUGAACUGUGAGCUGUAAGGGCUUUCCUAAUCAAGUCCAAUCAGUAUAAUCAAACACAGCUUUAGAACCAUCUCAAGGAUGAUCAGAAGAAAUGGACAGCACCUGAGUUAAAUACAUGAGUGUCACAGCAAUGUGAUAUUUCAGUUUUUCUUUUUUAAUAAAUAUGCAAAGAUGUCAACAAUUCUGUGUUUUUCUGUCAAUAUGGGGUUCUGUGUGUACAUUACCGAGGAACAAAAAUGAACUCAAAUGAUUUUAGCAAAUGGCUGCAAUAUAACAAAGACAGAAAAAUGUUAGGGGGUCUGAAUACUUUCCGUACCCACUCUAUUUUGAGUGGACAAUGUAGUCAGCCUAGCAUAGUAAUAAGCCAGUGUUCCUCAGAUCUUACCCUGGAGGGCAAAUGCCUUGCAGAGUUUUGGUCAAACCCUAAUCAAGCACACCUGAGUACGCUCAUGGUUUGAUCAGGGUAUGAGCAGGGGCCCUCCAGGACUAGAUUUGAGGAAACCCUGUAAUAAAUUAUAAAUAAUCUAACUACCAUACAGAAUAAUACAGGAUCAUUUAGUAGUAAUAUAAGGCCUGUGUUACAUUGUACACAAAAGAGCUUCAUAACAGCUACAGUGAGCUCAUUUUAUGCUUUCAUGGUUACAUUAUUUCUGCUUCUGUAAUGUGGAUGAACUUGGAGUAUUGAGUGUUUCUUCAGUCAUAAUUAUUAAAAUCAAAAGUUAUUACACAUUUGAUUGUAAUAAAAUGUAAGUUUAAUGGAGAGAAAGAUCACAAUCAUUUUCAAAGAUCAUUUUCUAUAUCAAGAGCUUCACUGAAUAUGUUAAACUGCAUUUAAAUGGGCUUUGCAUGGUCUUCUAGAUUUGCUUCACAUUUGCACUUGUUUUGAAUGAUUUUCAUUUUGGAUUGUCCAAUAGAAAAUCCAGUCAUACUGUUGGAUCUGAUUUAAGGUAUUUAUGCAUAUGAGGCAUUUCAAAACAGGUGAAUACAUGUUUUGUAACGUUUACCUCCUUUCACAAGGUUUUUUUUUUUUUUUUUUUUUAUCCUGACCACCAGGUGACACAAGUAGACUCACUUAUUUCUGAAUAAGAGAGGAAGCAGUCGAGUAAGAAGCACAUAAGUUAAGUAAAGUUGCCUUGAUCACUUGACUACUUAAAUGACGUAUUUCCUGUAUUUGGACCAAGUGAGGAUGAAGACUACAAGUGUGUGUACACACACUUUUCAUAAUCUGAUGGCACACACUUGUAGUGUUGUAAAAACGCAAGUGUUUACAGAGUUUUAAUAUUUAUUUUCAAUACUUUGCAUUUUAAAUGUCUGUUCAGUAGUCCCUAUAACAGAUGACACAAAUACAUUUCUGGUGCUUCUAAUUAAGUAAUAAAAAGCAGUUGCAAAUGAUGCACAAAAUAAAUAUAGGCUACUCAUCUUUGUAUCAUUAAAAUGUCUAGCACUUUGUUUAAUUACCAAAUUAUAUGUAAUAUAUAAUUAUUCAUAAUAUUUCAUUUACAUCGGAAAGGUUUCCGUGACCUCUCUUGAUAUUGGCAAAAAGUCUCGAGAUUUACAGCUCCGGAGCGGUAUUCAAGAUAAUGUGGAUUUAGUGUGUGUUAAGGGCACUGUGCUUUGGUGUUUUUAAGAUCUGGACAGUCUUGCGCACUUACUUCCUGUCGUGUGCACGCGCUCUCAAGUAGUCAAGACUGCAAGUGUGGGUAUUUAGACAAGGCAAGUAUCUGCCAAGACCCUCUACACACUCCUGUACAGUAGGUGGUGAUAUUCAAUAAUUAGUAAAAGUUGCAAAAGCAAAGAAGAAGAAGCAGAUUCUGUUUGAAUUCCUCAUGGCUUAUUUGUUAGACAUAUAAUCCUGGUCCGAGAAAUGUUUAGUUUGGUGCUCAAUCAUUAGUUUGCUAUUCUAUGUUCACACUUUGCUGUGAAAUAUUUGUACAACUUUGGUGCUUCUUUGAGUGUUAUCACACCUGUCCAAGGAUUAUACCCAAAGGCUUAUCUCUGCAAGGAUUUCUACAUUGCAUCCAUCGUCUCAUCAUCAGAUAAGACUGUUAAACUGCUCAUGAACUGCACUAAUUUACAAAACUUGCACAAAUCGUCAUCAGCAUUGCUGGACAUUCUGUAUUCAAAAACUCUUCCCAUUUAUUCUGGACAUUGUGUGUGUGUGUGUGUGUGUGUGUGUGUGUGUGAGAGAGAGAGAGAGAGAGAGAGAGAGAGAAAGACUAGGGGAAUUUGUGUAUUUGUAAAGU